UACGAAGGGGGCUAGCGUUGUUCGGAAUUAUUGGGCGUAAAGGGCGCGUAGGCGGUGCGGUAAGUCUGAUGUGAAAUCUCCGGGCUCAACUCGGAGUCUGCAUCAGAAACUGCCGUGCUCGAGUGUGGGAGAGGUGAGUGGAAUUCCCGGUGUAGCGGUGAAAUGCGCAGAUAUCGGGAAGAACACCCGUGGCGAAGGCGGCUCUCUGGGACGGUACUGACGCUGAGACGCGAAAGCGUGGGGAGCGAACAGG
rnacentral:rRNA from 1 species